rnacentral:rRNA from 1 species
UACGUAGGGACCGAGCGUUGUCCGGAAUCAUUGGGCGUAAAGAGCGUGUAGGCGGCUUGCUAAGUCUUGCGUGAAAUCUCGGGGCUCAACCCCGAGCGGUCGUGGGAAACUGGCAGGCUAGAGUGCGGGAGAGGAGAAUGGAAUUCCUGGUGUAGCGGUGAAAUGCGCAGAUAUCAGGAAGAACACCCGUGGCGAAGGCGGUUCUCUGGAACGCAACUGACGCUGAGACGCGAAAGCGUGGGUAGCGAACGGG